CCUACGGGAGGCAGCAGUAGGGAAUAUUGCUCAAUGGGGGAAACCCUGAAGCAGCAACGCCGCGUGGAGGAUGAAGGUUUUCGGAUUGUAAACUCCUUGUGUUAGAGAAGAGAAUGACGGUAGCUAACGAAUAAGCACCGGCUAACACCGUGCCAGCAGCCGCGGUAAUACGGAGGGUGCAAGCGUUACGCGGAAUCACUGGGCGUAACGAGCGCGUAGGCGGGAUAGCAAGUCAGAUGUGAAAUCCUCUGGCUUAACCAUAGAACUGCAUUUGAAACUGUUAUUCUAGAGUAUGGGAGAGGUAGGUGCACUUCUUGGUGUAGGGGUCACAUCCGUCGAGAUC
rnacentral:rRNA from 1 species